AUUGAACGCUGGCGGAAUGCUUAACACAUGCAAGUCGAACGCACCGCAAGAUGAGUGGCAGACGGGUGAGUAACGCGUGGGACUCUACCUAGUUCUACGGAACAACAGGUGGAAACGACUGCUACUACCGUAUACGCCCUAUGGGGGAAGGAUUUAUCGGAAUUAGAUGAGCCCGCGUAAGAUUAGCUAGUUGGUGAGGUAAUGGCUCACCAAGGCGACGAUCUUUAGCUGGUCUGAGCGGAGGAUCAGCCACACUGGGACUGAGACACGGCCCAGACUCCUACGGGAGGCAGCAGUGGGGAAUAUCGGACAAUGGGCGCAAGCCUGAUCCAGCCGUGCCGCGUGAGUGAUGAAGGCCUUAGGGUUGUAAAGCUCUUUCAGUAGGGAAGAUAAUGACGGUAACUACAGAAGAAGCCCCGGCUAACUUCGUGCCAGCCGCCGCCGUAACAC
rnacentral:rRNA from 1 species